GGUAGUGUGGCUGAGCGGUCCAAAGCGCUGGAUUUAGGCUCCAGUCUGUCAGGAGGCGUGGGUUCAAAUCCCACCACAGCUCCU